UUGAAUGAAAAAAGAAUAACAAUUCCUACAUAUUAUCAAGAAUAUGAAAGUAGUAGAAUACACUUGAAUCAAAGGUAUUAUUUAAUCAUAUCUAGUUGGAGCCAUAAACCUUGUGUUUUUUUAAAGCAAAUACUCUUAUUGUAAUAAUAUAUUGUUAAAGAAAUAAAUUUCAAAGAACUAAAAGAUCAAUAUAUUCUUAUGUUAUUCUUCAAAGGUGAUUGAUAGGUCUUCUUGGCUAUCAAUAGUACUCCAUAUCAAUGCAAAAAGAUGACCCUCUUAUUUGAUUAUUGUUGACACUUUUGU
rnacentral:lncRNA from 1 species